GAUGAACGCUGGCGGCGUGCCUAAUACAUGCAAGUCGAGCGAACAGACGAGGAACUUGCUCCUCUGACGUUAGCGGCGGACGGGUGAGUAACACGUGGAUAACCUACCGAUAAGACUGGGAUAACUUCGGGAAACCGGAGCGAAUACCGGAUAAUAUAUUGAACCGCAUAGUUCAGUAGUAAAAGAGGGGUUUGCUGACACGUAUAGAUUGAUCCGCGCCCCAUUAACUAGGUGGUAAGGUAACGGAUUACCAAGGCAACGAUGCGUAGCCGCCCGGAGAGGGUGAUCGGCCACACUGGAACGGAGACAAGGUCCACACUCCUACGGGAGGCAGCAGUAGGGACUCUUCCGCAAUGGGCGAAAGCUUGACGGAGCAACGCCGCGUGAGUGAUGAAGGUCUUCGGAUCGUAAAACUCUGUUAUUAGGGAAGAACAAAUGUGUAAGUAACUAUGCACGUCUUGACGGUACCUAAUCAGAAAGCCACGGCUAACUACGUG
rnacentral:rRNA from 1 species